rnacentral:misc_RNA from 1 species
AUUUGAGAUCCCUCUUAAACAAGAGAAGCUCAUUUUCAAAAUUGCUGGGCCUUUUUCUACCUUUUCCUUUCUUUGCAUGCUUCCAUAACAGAAGAACCCCCUCCCUCCUUUGGUUCUUGGGGCACUAAAAAGCUGUAGUGUAUUUGAGGGUACACUUGUCAUUUAACAUCAACCCAAUGAGCAACUAGGUAUUUUCAAUGAAGCUAUAGGGACGCCCAUUUGGUUCCCCAUCAACCUUUUGCAAAGAAUCUAGAAUUAUAUCCUCUCUCUCAACUUCCAUAUUUAAAAACCCUCACCUCAGGCUUCUCAUGGAAACCCAAAAACACACUCCUUUCUCUAACAUGGCAACCAUUCAAUCUUCAACAACCAAUACUUCUUUCUCCAAGUAUCUCCAGUCCCUUUCACAAACCCCUCACAGGCUUAAAAGGAGAAUGCUAGCUACAUGGACCCCAGACCAAGAACUUAACCAAGUAAGGCUAAGGUCUGGUGCAGAUAUGAAGAGGAAACUCAAGUGGCAUGACUUAAUAGCUCUUGGUGUAGGAGGCAUGCUUGGUGUUGGUGUCUUUGUCACCACUGGCUCUGUGGCUCAUGAGGACUCUGGCCCUGCAGUUUUCAUAUCUUAUAUUAUUGCUGGCAUAUCAGCUCUUCUUUCUUCUUUAUGUUACACUGAAUUUUCUGUCCAGAUUCCUGUUGCCGGGGGCGCCUUCAGUUACCUGAGAGUAACCUUUGGAGAGUUUGUAGGCUAUUUUGCUGGGGCAAACAUCCUGCUGGAGUAUGUAUUAUCAAAUGCUGCGGUUGCAAGAAGUUUCACCGACUAUCUUUGCCAUGCCUUGGGAGAGAAUGACUCAGACUCAUGGAGAGUUGAAGUGGAUGGACUAGUGAAGGGUUAUGAUAAGUUGGAUUUCACAGCAGUUGUUCUUAUUCUUCUUCUCACUCUCUGUCUUUGCCAUAGGUUUGAUCGCUUGUUAUGACCUUUAUUUUCUUGUUUACCCCCCGUUUUCCUUGUAUGUAUGAACAGUAUAUUGCUAUUUUCUUAAUCUUGGUACAGGCAAUUGUUUUUGUCACUAUACCUUUCUUUAGCAAGCGUAAGUUGGCAUUUUGGCUUAUUAGUGAAUUACUGAAUUUAGAAUAGUAGUUCUUAAUGUUGGA